ACUAGAGCUGGCAACAUUGUCUUCUUCCGCUUCUUCUCUCUUUCUCCCAAUCAAUUGUUCCUUAAACCCUAACCCUCAAUUUCCCCUUCUUUCUCUUUGUAAUAUACCCUUGAAAAGCAUUGCUCAAUCUCCAUGUGCUGACACAAAAUUCCUCCAAGAAAGGACAACAGGAAGAAAAAAAGAGAGAAAAAAUUAUGCUUCCUUUAGUCCCUUCCAUAUUUCUUCAUUUUAUUUUCAUCUUCUUCGUGGUUGUCCACGGCAGCAAGAACGAUUCCAUUUACGAGAUACUAAAGCUUCAUGGGCUUCCCACGGGGCUGCUUCCCAAGGGGAUAACCCGAUUUGAAUACGACGAUACGGGCCGGUUCGAGGUUCACUUGGAUCAGGCCUGUAAUGCCAAGUUUGAAAGCGAGUUUCAUUAUGACAUUAACGUGUCGGGGACUUUGAGUUACGGGAAGAUCAUGGAAUUGUCAGGGAUUUUGGCUCAAGAUUUGUUCCUUUGGUUCCCGGUUAAAGGGAUUUGGGUCGAUGUCCCCAGCUCGGGUCUUAUUUAUUUUGACAUCCUUUUCGUUUAUAAGCAGUAUCCGUUAUCGUUCUUUGAAACGCCGAAGGAUUGUCUGGCGAUUAGUAAUUCUGAGUCCGGUGAUUCGAUUCGAGAUGGCAAGUUAUUAGCUGAAGCAAUCUCCAAGAGUCAAUCUGCGAUACUUGGAUAUGAACCCGGUGAAGAAAAUUUUGGGAGGAACGAGAUGUAGAAAGGUGGACAAAGCAAGUUGUGCAAUAGCUCAAUCAGUUUACAUUCAAGCUCAUUUCGGGGGCCCGUUUCCUCCUCCGUUGUAAAUUUUGGUGGAGGGAGUCUGCUCUAGGUGGUCUUUACUGUUUAGCUUCCAUCAUGUGUGUUUUGCUUGUCUAUUUUUCCCCUUUAUUCUGUUUACCACAGAGUAGUGUACAUGCCAACUCCAGUUGGCUCCUGUCCGUACGGUGAUGGCCAAUGGGGAGAAAUUGGAAGAUUGGGAAAAUAUUUUUUUGAUGAUAGUCAUUGUUGGCUUGCCUUAUGGAGAUGGGAGCAUUUGCUUCAGGUCUAAACCUCGAUGGAAUCUGUUUUCAUUAUCAGAGUUUGAACAGGGGUUUUUGACUCUGUGUAGUGAGUAUAUUUCUCCCCAGGAUAUUUGAACUGGCACUAUCUUCUCCCUAUAAACUUUGAGUUUCCUUUUUGUUAUAUCCUUGGUAAGGGUUGUUAUUGCAACAUUAGUGAACUUUUGGGUGCCUUCUAGAUGGGCUGUGGGGCCAUAUGCAUAUUUCUUAGGCAUGUUAUAAAGUAAUGAGAAGCUUUAGAAAAUAGUUUAUUUUAGCAUCUAUGUUUUUCAAUCCAGAGUUUGAGAAUCACUGGGUAUUGAGUACACUCCGGUACAGCUUUUUGAAUCAUGGAGCUUGGUGAGAUAUUCUGAAUCUUUUUAAGUGUAUAAUAUGUCUCUUUUUCAUCGUUAGUUAUCCAUCUCCCCACACCCGUGAUGUAAAGGCAUGUAGAUUUUCAUCUGUGUCCAGAUACAUACCAAUCUUGUAAAGGAAUUGUUUCUUUGCCUUGGAUCACUUGGUAGUGAAAUGUUGAUUAAGAAUUGGAUAUACUUGUUCUAACAAGCAGGCAAACAGCAAACCCGUGUAUAAAAAUUGGAUCUACCCGGCCUGGUUCCUCAUGUAAAAUUUGCAGUUUGCCUGUACUGGGUGUAUAGGCUUUUAGCUGAUCCUUAUCAAAUGGCUUUCAACUACUCCACAAUGGACCAUCAUUAUAUAUGUUUGGUAAGUUGAAUUAUCCCUUCAGUCCCCCACUUCUACCUAGAACACUCUUUCUUCUGCAUGUUAGUUCUAUAUUUCUCCUUUACUUUCUCACUUUGAAAUGGACACUCCAAAAAUCAUCCAAAGGACUUCUUAUUGACUGUUUACUUCUCUUACUAGAGGCAUUAUUGUAAAUAAGUAGAAGAAACAGGGGAAUUGAAUGAAUUAUGGUUUCAAACAGCUCAUCUGGAUUGAGAUACUGAUAAUGAACUAGCAAACUUGGAAAUCCAUACUUUCUGGCUCGGUACAGACUGUAGAACACUUCAUUGUUUAUUUUGGAAACAAUUUCUUAGUUAUUGUUGAUAUGAUGAUCAUGAAACUUUUGCUUGUGUUGGCAAUACAAAUCAGUUGAGAAGAUUCAACUGGGUAGAAGAAUGGAUUGGUGGGGUUGACCGCCAAGCUUUGCAGUUUGUACGGCAUAGUAUGACUAAUGUUUGACUGUUAGCAUUAUUGACAGUGUUUAAUAGGAUUAAGAAGGCCUAGCAUUUUAUUGGGUGUUAUAGUGUGGGAGAACAAGAACAUGCAUUGUCUUUGAAAUACUAUGUUUUAGGUAAAGAUAGGGUUUCAAAAUAUUCUGUAGAAUGUUUUAUUUAAUGAGUGAGCAUCAUCUUUGCGUUGAAUUCAUCUUUAAAAUGAGAUGCUUGUGUAAAAAUAUAACCCUGUAAUAAAGGCAUUUCGUUUAUUA